GACAGAGGGGGCAAGCGUUGCUCGGAAUCACUGGGCGUAAAGGGCGCGUAGGCGGGAUGGCAAGUCGGUUGUGAAAUCCUUCGGCUCAACCGAAGAACGUCGGCCGAUACUGCCGUUCUUGAGGGAUGCAGAGGAGAUUGGAAUUCCCGGUGUAGCGGUGAAAUGUGUAGAGAUCGGGAGGAACACCGGUGGCGAAGGCGGGUCUCUGGGCAUCUCCUGACGCUGAGGCGCGAAAGCGUGGGGAGCAAACGGG
rnacentral:rRNA from 1 species